GACAGAGGGUGCAAACGUUGUUCGGAAUUACUGGGCGUAAAGCGCGUGUAGGCGGCUUGGCAAGUCGGGUGUGAAAGCCCCGGGCUCAACCUGGGAAGUGCACUCGAAACUGCUUGGCUUGAGUACUGGAGAGGGAAGCGGAAUUCUCGGUGUAGAGGUGAAAUUCGUAGAUAUCGGAAGGAACAUCAGUGGCGAAAGCGACUUCCUGGACCAGUACCGACGUUCAGGCACGAAAGCGUGGGGAGCAAACAGG
rnacentral:rRNA from 1 species